AGAGUUUGAUCCUGGCUCAUGACGAACGCUGGCGGCGUGCUUAACACAUGCAAGUCGUGCGAGAAAACCCCUUCGGGGGUGAGUACAGCGGCGGACGGGUGAGUAACACGUGAGCGAUCUACCCGGUGGCGGGGGACAACCCAGGGAAACCUGGACUAAUACCGCAUACAGCGGAGGGAGUAGGUGCCCUUCGUGAAAGCUGGCCUCUCCAUGGAAGCUAGCGUCGCCGGAGGAGCUCGCGGCCUAUCAGCUUGUUGGUGGGGUAACGGCCUACCAAGGCGAUGACGGGUAGCUGACGUGAGAGCGUGACCAGCCACACUGGGACUGAGACACGGCCCAGACUCCUACGGGAGGCAGCAGUGGGGAAUAUUGCGCAAUGGGCGAAAGCCUGACGCAGCGACGCCGCGUGGGGGAGGAAGGCCCUAGGGUUGUAAACCCCUGUCAGGUGGGACGAACCCUGGGUCGACGAAUAGUUGGCUCAUCUGACGGUACCAUCAGAUGAAGCUCCGGCUAACUCCGUGCCAGCAGCCGCGGUAACACGGGCGGAGCAAGCGUUGUUCGGAAUCACUGGGCGUAAAGCGCGCGUAGGCGGCCCAGUAAGUCGUAUGUGAAAGCCCGGGGCUCAACUCCGGUAUUGCAUGCCAUACUGCCCGGCUGGAAAAAGGUAUAGGCAAGUGUAAUUCCCCGGCGUAGCGGUGG
rnacentral:rRNA from 1 species